UCUCUCUCUCUCUCUCUUUUUGCAUAAAAGAAGGCCUGACAAGUUUUUAUCUGUUGGUUUGUUAUGUCUUAUAAACAUGGUGAGACCUGCUCAUAGUUGUUUCUACAUUGGGAGGUGGCAUCUGGCAUGGGCAAUUUGGAAUUGCCUCUUUAGCAUUUUGAAGAGCAUUGGUUGUGUCUAGAUUCUUUGAAGGCUUUUACUGGAGAGGUUUUGUUGGAAAGAAAGAUAACAAAGUUCUUUGGAAUUGUGCAUUUUUUCACUUUUAUAUAGACUGGAGUCUUAUGGAUUGAAAGGAGUGCAUGCAUAUUAAACAUAAGAGCUUUUUGCUUGUUGUGGGAUAAGGUGGUGUCUUUGGCUUCUUUGCUUGCAUGUACUUCUGGUGCACUUUUGGGGAGCUAUCCCACUUACUUGGAGGGCAUAUAUUUUAUCUUAUUUUUAAGUUCUUGUUUGCAGUUGUUUGCUGGCUUUUUUUAGGAUGACCCCUUAUCCUCUGUGAUGUUCUCAUUUGCUCUUAAUGAAAUGUCUUCCCUUGUUAAAAAAUGAUGUUAGAAUAUGGAAUUUAACUAAGGAACCCAAUGAAAUAAUAAAUAAUGCAAAAUUGCUUAGCUUACAAGUGCCUUAUGUCCCCUUUGACAACUAUAAUGUUAGCUCACUUUCGUAGAUAUUUUACUUGGACAUGAGUAUGAAUAUCUGGUUGUGUCCAGGAAUUUGACUUGAGUAUAUUUUUGAUUUGGCAAAUGCCAUAUCAUUAACCAACUUUUCUUGUUUAAAACAUUUUAAUUAAAAAAUAGGAGACAAGAGAAACUAUCUUUAUGGAUUUUUCUCAUUUAUGCUGAACAGUUUGUCAAAUCCAAUACCAAACAGUACAGGUGUACAUAUUCUCAAAAAAGAUGGUUUUGAUCGAACUGAAACAACUGGAUUGAAUUUCCGCCAAUAUUCUUAGGAAAGCAAAAAUCUACUGCCUUUCCUGCCUUUCCUUGGGAGUAAAGAGAGCAAAGUUAAAAGUCUAGUUACGCCCAGAAACUUGCUGCCAAUUUGAAUUGCUAGGUUACCAAACAGAUAAGUGGUACAAUGUGGUUGUUGGAGAUAUGGCAAUAGGUGAUGGUUUAAUUGUAGAAUACAAAUGGUAUUGGUGAGAAAAGCUGCAGCUGAAUGUGUGACAUUCGUGCAGGCAGCAGUAUUGGAUUGAUACCAUGCCAGUUGAAAAUAGGAAGUAUUUGAGAAACUUAAAAGUUUACAUAACUAAGGCUGACCAUUUUGUUAUAUAAGAAAUUAUGCUUAUCUUACAAUAAUACCAUUGAACUAAAUUGAAAGUUUUA
rnacentral:misc_RNA from 1 species